UCUUCACCAGACGAGUCAGCAGACUGAAACCUACGAAAUGGACACAGCAGCAGCAGGCAAAUCCGCUCCUCCAAAGCCCAAGGAGGGCCGGCAGUUCAAUAGUGCCGCUCCCAAAGCUGGAGGGAAGAAGGGGUUCAACAGCGCCCCACCAGGCAAGGGCAGCUUCGGAGGAGCGGACCUGGUCUGCCCCUGGGAGGAGUUUGGCGACAUGGAGCUGAAUGAGCUGACGCAGUUCGGCAUCAUCUAGACCUGCUGGACCGACCCUCCUGCACGAAACACAUCUUCCUUGUAUAAAGUGUGAUGAGUCUUGGAGUAGCUUCAUAUAUUUAUUUAACUUAUAUCAAACGUACAGUGGAGAGAAUUAAUGAAGGAACAUCAUCAUCAUAUCUUUACGGCUCCGUAUGAAUCUGUUUGACCUUAAAAGCUCCAUAUUACUCUUUUUUUUAUGGUUUUGUUUUCAAAACAUCUGUGGCUCUGGAAGAGGGUCACAUUUUUUUCAUGUUUUGCAAAUGAAAUCAGCCUGAAACUGCCUGCACAAAAACCUCAGAUUUCUGUAAAUGCCAGAACUUUAACCACGCGAAAAUAUCUUUUUUCUUUCUUUUUUUUCUUUUCUUUUUUUCCCAGUGGCUUCGGUAGAUACAUUUGCCAACAUUAAACUUGAAUUUCUGUAAUAUGGGGCCUUCAAGGUUUGACAUUACAUUGUAAAUUGUAAAAUAAAAUAGUAUUCAUUUCACAUCAUGGUUGUAUUCGUUGCCAAGGUUAUAUUUUUAUUUUAUUUAUUUUUUAUUUUUUUUGCAUGGAGACCAAAAUAGCAUCACUGCAGUCUUUUCAGGACGUGGUUUCACACUCACAAACAUUAAUAACAAAGUAGAAAAAUAAAUCCUGACUGCUACCUCAAAACAGAGUCUCAUCAAGGUGGAAGUGUUGAAGCUGAAACUGUAGAUGAAUGACCUGUGGCUUUUUUCUCACACUCAUACUGUCUGCUGUAAUUCUUUCAGGACGGCCUUGGUAAUUUGU